CAGCCAAUGUUGUUGUGUAUGAUGCGGACUCGGGCGGGAUACCGAGUGCCGCUUGUUCCACAUCACAUCACUUGUUGAGAUUCGGUUUCGGUGAAUGGAGGCAAACCAUUACCGUGUGCGCAUGUGUGUGUGUGUGUGUGUGUUUGUGUAUAGUCUUGUGAUUUUAGGAUUAGGUAGUGUCAGAUUUUCACUGCACUGAACGUGGAACUA
rnacentral:lncRNA from 1 species